rnacentral:lncRNA from 1 species
GCAUUUCAAAGCCAGGCCUGAUUCGGGGUACAAGGAAGAACAGACCUAUGUGCAUUUUGUAGGAAGAAAACUGUGAAUGGAAAAAGGAGAAGGGGAGAGAAACGGGGGAAAUCUGGAUAAUACAUUAAAGUAACCAUAAUUUUGGAGAUGCAUUCAUCUUAUUGAAAAUAUGUACGUAACCAGUGAUACCGAAGUCGGAUAUUUGCUCAAUCAGGAUGCUCAACAAUUUGAGCCUUUAAAGUUUGGAGCUGCAUGGGUUUGUGGAGAAAGUCGGCUCGUGAUGUGUGUGAUGUUUUUCUCCAACUUUUUCUUUUUCUUCUAUGCUUUGGGAUCUUGUGGGAAGUACCUCAAGAAAACCUGAAGAUGCUAAUUUUUAGACAACUAAUACUUCCUAUUUUCCCUCCUUUUGCCUGCUAGAUUUCCUCAUGGUUGUGAUUCCUCUUCACUCUUUUGAAUUUGGAAGGAUGGCAUACACAUCUGAAAAAUAGUAAGUAAUGUGUGAUUUAUUUUUCAAUUACUGUUACUAAUUGUAAUAAAGCUGAAAUUUGAUUACUGGAGGAGUUUGAAAUCAUCAUGCAUGCCUUGAAGGAAAAUGGGUUUUGUGAAACAUUUGCAUUAUUUGGUGUGAAUUACCUUUGGUGUGAUUUAACUGUUUAUCACACAAUUACUGUUGUGAUAAUGAAUGUGUUAUUCACUAUUGCUAAAUUUACCCAGUAUAUUCUGUAAUAACUAAGUAUUUGUGCCAUAUAAUAUAUGCAUUCUUAGUGCAACAGUUUAAGAAACAAUGCAAAAAUUGCAGGGAACUGUCUUUGGAGAUGCUAAGUUUUCUUGUUUUAUAUACCACACAAUCUUCCUCACACAUUUAUAGUUUUAAUUCAUAGUAAUAAUGUUUUCUAGAGACCUUUCUAUUUAUGCCUGAAAUGAAAUUCUCAUAUAAAUUAUGUGAGCUUAUUUCUUCAAAAUGAAUAUCCAGAGAGAGGCAAGAAUUAUUCUGACAUUAUUAAACUGCAUUUUUAAUGCAGUUUAAGUGACAUUUCUUAUAAUUUAAUCAAGCAUUAUAAUUAAAAUAACAAAGCUUUGAUUAGAGACUUUUUUUUUCAUUUGGGAAAGUGAAAAGUUCAUUUUUACCUUCCUAAAAAUAAGACAGACAUAUGCUAUCUGAAGACAUGAUACCUUGGAUUAGAGUACAUGCCACAAGUAUUUUUUAAAACAUAGAUGCAGCAUUGGCAUUUCUGAGUAACUACAGUGCAUAUUUUAAAUAUAUAAAUGCCUUAGAAUGAAGCAAUAUGGGGCAGAAUUAGUUCUGAAAUCUCUGAGGUAGCUUGAACAGUAUUUGCAUUAGGGCUGGCACUGCUAAAGCAAGCAGAUCCUGGGAAUUUCAUGUAGGCAAACAUGAGAUCCUUGUUUCUGGAGACAAGAAAAAAAAAGAUUAAUUAAAACCAAGUCCUAUGUUGUUUAACCCUUAAAAUAACAGUCAGUAUUUAUAGGGAUGCUGAAAUGGGGAAAAGGAUUCAGAUUAUUUCACAGAGGUCUCUGCGAGGGCCAAACCCUUUCCCUUCUAACUAUUCCUCACAUCGAAUAUAAAUUCCUGGAAGUUUGUAUUUAAGAUGACGUCUGUUUUCUGAGCUUUUGCAGCUGCAGGUCUCUUUUCCAACUUCCUACAUUUAUCUUUGCCUGUGUUUUUGAGCCAUUUGCUGCCUCCUAAUGCCUAACUUUAAAAUAGCAUGCAUGGCAGCCUGCCAAGACGGUGGCAGUGGCAUAUUGGUUUGUAUUGGUGUUGAAGUUGCAAAGUUUUUGUUACCGAUAAUUUAUAACAAUUGCAACAAAAGAGAUUAUCAAAACCCGAGGGGAUAGGAGACAGGAAGGAGAACAAAACUGCUGCACUUCUUGAUGGAUCAAAGUGUGAUUCUUCCUGCAAUAGCGAGUUGGGUUGUUGUGUUGUCUACAUGGGUAUGAUGCUCUAGAUGACCUGCACAUUGUCACUGUAGUGAUUGCCUGUAAUGUUAGAUUGACAGAAAAGUGCAAUAUAAAAGAGGGUUUGUCUAGGGGAUGUAAUUAAUUAUACAU